ACUCAAAUGAAUAGACGGGGGCCCGCACAAGCGGCGGAGCAUGUGGCUUAAUUCGAUGCAACGCGAAGAACCUUACCUGGGCUUGACAUGCAGGGAAAUCCGGUAGAGAUAUCGGGUCCGCAAGGGUCCUGCACAGGUGGUGCAUGGUUGUCGUCAGCUCGUGUCGUGAGAUGUUGGGUUAAGUCCCGCAACGAGCGCAACCCUCGUCCUAUGUUGCCAGCGGGUAAUGCCGGGGACUCAUAGGAUACUGCCGGGGUCAACUCGGAGGAAGGUGGGGAUGACGUCAAAUCAUCAUGCCCCUUAUGUCCAGGGCUGCACACAUGCUACAAUGGCCGGUACAAAGGGCUGCGAAACCGCAAGGUAGAGCGAAUCCCAAAAAGCCGGUCUCAGUUCGGAUUGGGGUCUGCAACUCGACCCCAUGAAGUCGGAGUCGCUAGUAAUCGCAGAUCAGCAUUGCUGCGGUGAAUACGUUCCCGGGCCUUGUACACACCGCCCGU
rnacentral:rRNA from 1 species